CCAGAUUGAAAAAAACAUCAUUGAGUGCAGCGUUGAUGAAUAUUUGUCGGUGCUUUGCCAAUAUUUCUCUAUACUAGCCAGGAUUCUUUCACCAGCGCUGCACUCGAUCAUGUUUUUUAGCUCUGCUGGUUCAGGAUUAUCCAGAUAAUACGCACA
rnacentral:pre_miRNA from 1 species